rnacentral:rRNA from 1 species
GACCGUCAGCUAAGGUCCCAAAAUCAUUGCUCAGUGGGAAACGAUGUGGGAAGGCAUAGACAGCUAGGAGGUUGGCUUAGAAGCAGCCACCCUUUAAAGAAAGCGUAAUAGCUCACUAGUCGAGUCGGCCUGCGCGGAAGAUUUACCGGGGCUAAGCAAUGUACCGAAGCUGCGGAUGCACUAUUCUUUUGAAUGAGUGCAUGGUAGAGGAGCGUUCUGUAGGCUGAUGAAGGUAACCUGUAAGGGUUGCUGGAGGUAUCAGAAGUGCGAAUGCUGACAUAAGUAACGAUAAAGAGGGUGAAAGACCCUCUCGCCGAAAACCCAAGGUUUCCUGCUCUACGUUAAUCGGAGCAGGGUGAGUCGGCUCCUAAGGCGAGGCAGAGAUGCGUAGUCGAUGGGAAACUGGUUAAUAUUCCAGUACUUUUUAUAACUGCGAUGGGGAGACGGAGAAAGCUAUACCAGCCUGGCGAUGGUUGUCCAGGUUUAAGCCGGUAGGCAUGUCACUUAGGAAAAUCCGGGUGGCUUUAUGCCGAGAGGUGAUGACGAGAUCCUACGGGAUUGAAGUGGUAGAUGCUAUGCUUCCAGGAAAAUCCUCUAAGCUUCAGGUUAUGAAGAACCGUACCCCAAACCGACACAGGUGGGUGGGAUGAGAAUUCUAAGGCGCUUGAGAGAACUCGGGUUAAGGAACUANGCAAAUUAGCACCGUAACUUCGGAAGAAGGUGUGCCCAAAAGUGUGAAGGACUUGCUCCGUAAGCACAUGAGGGUUGCAGUGAAAUGGUGGCUGCGACUGUUUAUUAAAAACAUAGCACUCUGCGAACACGAAAGUGGAAGUAUAGGGUGUGACGCCUGCCCGGUGCCGGAAGGUUAAUUGAUGGGGUUAGCACUUGUG